AGGAUUCCCCUAGUAACUGCGAGUGAAGCGGGAAAAGCUCAAAUUUAAAAUCUGGCGGUCUCUGGCCGUCCGAGUUGUAAUCUAGAGAAGUAAUGCCCGUGCUGGACCGUGUAUAAGUCUCCUGGGAUGGGGCGUCAUAGAGGGUGAGAAUCCCGUCUUUGACACGGACUACCAGUGCAUUGUGGUAUGCUCUCAAAGAGUCGAGUUGUUUGGGAAUGCAGCUCAAAAUGGGUGGUAAAUUCCAUCUAAAGCUAAAUAUUGGCGAGAGACCGAUAGCGAACAAGUACCGUGAGGGAAAGAUGAAAAGAACUUUGGAAAGAGAGUUAAACAGUACGUGAAAUUGCUGAAAGGGAAACGCUUGAAGUCAGUCGCGUUGGCCAGGGAUCAGCCUUGCUUUUGCAUGGUGUACUUUCUGGUUGACGGGUCAGCAUCAAUUUUGACCGCUGGAAAAGGGCCUGGGGAAUGUGGCAGCUUCGGCUGUGUUAUAGCCCCUGGUCGCAUACGGUGGUUGGGAUUGAGGAACUCAGCACGCCGCAAGGCCGGGUUUCGACCACGUUCGUGCUUAGGAUGCUGGCAUAAUGGCUUUAAGCGACCCGUCUUGAAACACGGACCAAGGAGUCUAACAUGCCUGCGAGUAUUUGGGUGGAAAACCCAAGUGCGUAAUGAAAGUGAAAGUUGAGAUCCCUGUCGUGGGGAGCAUCGACGCCCGGACCAGAACUUUUGGGACGGAUCCGCGGUGGAGCAUGUAUGUUGGGACCCGAAAGAUGGUGAACUAUGCCUGAAUAGGGUGAAGCCAGAGGAAACUCUGGUGGAGGCUCGUAGCGAUUCUGACGUGCAAAUCGAUCGUCAAAUUUGGGUAUAGGGGCGAAA
rnacentral:rRNA from 1 species